GCAGGAGUGGGGCAAGGGUUUUUCCUUGUAAACAACAAUAUGAUGAGGAUCCAGUAGGCUCCAGCAGAUGCCUGCGAACCAGUGUUCUUGUAUUUGGUUGUCGUUAGCAGCUGCCUAACUCCAGAUCACAAACCAGAUCAGGAGAUAACAAUUGAGGAUGUAAGCAAAUUUUUGAAUGCCACGGAGGAGCCUAGCUGAACUUCAUCAUUGUCAAACAAUAUCAGUUUGACAUACGACCUAUGACACAGAGGUCGGGUUCUCUUCCAAGAACGGCAAUCAGUGAUUGUAAAGAAGAUGGCGCAGCCAGAUUGCCUCGGAGGUGGAGGUAGCUAUGGCCAUGUAUUUCACUGUUGUGUUGGAAAGUGGCAUAGUCCUUUGGUGCGUUGAACACCAGCUGAUGGCGUUUUUAGAGAGAGUGAAUAUAUAGUUAGUGGUAGAGUGUCAUUCGUCCAUUUCAGUCUAUUUGGCCUCCUUCUAACGAAAAAGAGAACAGAGUGUAGAUGUCGAUUAGCGACAUUUCAGUACAUAGGUCAUGGUUCCAUUGUCAUGUUACAGAUCAUGUUAUAUUUUAAUAUGUAGAUCAUGGCCAUUAGAUAAAAGAGCAAAAGAAAGAUUAUAUUAUAAAGGAGUUUAAAUGAAUAUAUUUUAGGAAAUUAUUGUAAAAAUAUAAAUAAUAGACAAGGAGGUAGUAAAAAUUAAUAAGUGCUAA